rnacentral:rRNA from 1 species
GUGGGGAAUCUUAGACAAUGGGCGCAAGCCUGAUCUAGCCAUGCCGCGUGAGCGAUGAAGGCCUUAGGGUUGUAAAGCUCUUUCGUGGGGGAAGAUAAUGACUGUACCCCAAGAAGAAGCCCCGGCUAACUCCGUGCCAGCAGCCGCGGUAAUACGGAGGGGGCUAGCGUUGUUCGGAAUUACUGGGCGUAAAGCGCACGUAGGCGGACUGGAAAGUCAGGGGUGAAAUCCCGGGGCUCAACCCCGGAACUGCCUUUGAAACUCCCAGUCUUGAGUUCGAGAGAGGUGAGUGGAAUUCCGGGUGUAGAGGUGAAAUUCGUAGAUAUCCGGAGGAACACCAGUGGCGAAGGCGGCUUCCUGGACAGUAACUGACGCUGAGACGCGAAAGCGUGGGGAGCAAACAGGAUUAGAUACCCUGGUAGUCC